CUACAUCUUUUUCCGUCUCUCUCUCUCACUCUCACUCUCACUCGCAUUCUUUUAUUUCUUUUUUUCACUUUUAUUCUUCUCCUUCUCUCAUAUAUUUCUUGCUGUCUGAUAUCUUCCUCGAUUUCUAUUAAAUAAUCUUCUCAUCUCCCUCACUCUCGCUCACUCUUUCUUCUUUCUUUCUUUUUCUUACUUUUCUUCAUCUUCCCGUCUCUAUCUCUCUAUCUACCUCCCGUAAGCCCACUCUCACUUCUCAUAUUUUUGGCCACAUUUGCUCUUUGCAGCUGUCUAUAUUUUUGUUUCCAUCGGGGAUCUGCAGAGGAGAGUGUGAUCUCUUACACGCCUGAUCAGGUUUUGGUUAGCAACGGGGCCAAGCAGAGUAUUCAUCAAGCAUUUGCUUGAAGUUUGUUCCCCCAGAGAUGAGGGAAGCUCAAUUUGGGGUAUGAGACAAAUAUAUUUGUCUUGGCAGAAGAUUUUGACCGAUUGUUUUACAAUAUUUUUUUAAUGUUUCCUUCUUCUGUGGCGAUUUUUUCUUUUUCUUUUUUAUUAUCAUUUUUAAUUAUUUAAAUAUGUAAAUCGGUAUAAUUAUCUAUAUUCAUGUAUUGAUUCAACCUACUGACACAAGUAAUUUUUUUUCCUACUGACACAAGUAAUUUCUUUCUCC